GGAUUUUGGGCGCUUGGAGAUAAUUAAAUUGCCAUAACCAUUAGAGUCAUUAUCUCCAAGCUGGGCGGUGACUAUUUCAAACGAUACACUGUAAUGCUAUUGGUCAACUGUUUGUAUUGUCCCUGUAUCCCAUCAGGUCCAGAGGGUGCUGUCCCUGGACCUGGGGUUUUGCAUAAAUAGCUAUCACUGUGUGCCAUUAAACCCAGUUCGUUUUGACCCUCAAAUCGCAGCCUCGACUCGUUUUGUAGGAACAAGAGUAUCCUAACUGUACCAUAGCUAGUGGAAUUGCUUUAUAUUCUUAUGGUAUGCUGAACGGAACGGCGCUCCUCUCUCCACACUUGGGAACCAGGACAUCCAAGCGGUCCAGCCUUCAUCUAGCUUGGAGGUAACCGUAACAUAGUGUAACACAAAUACUACAAUAUAAAAAUAGUGCCUCCCCAGCAGCAUCUUAUUACACAAAUGUGAGACAAUAUGCUCUCCACUGUUGCAGAUGGGACCGUGGUCUCUGCGCCCAAACUACAGGGAGUGGGGACAGUCGGUCCUACUCCCCAGCAGGAGAAUGUCCUACGGGGAUCAGAGACAGUCGGUCUCGCUCCCCAGCAGCAGGACAAUGUAUUGGGAGUGGAGACCAUCAGUUCCCCUCCCCAGCGGCAGUAUAUAGUUCAGGGAGAGGAGCCUGUAACUCCCUCUCCCCAGCGGCAGCUUAUUCCCCAAAGGGGAGACCCUAUUCUCCCAGAUGAUACAGAGGGGGCCGUGACCACGGUACCUGAACCCCAGGGAUGCGGGGCAGCUUGUACGGACCACCAGCAGCAUGACCGUUUAUUGGAAGGGGAGACAGUCUGUCUCCCCCUCUCACCACAGCACCGGCUCCAAGGAGAGGAGCAUACUACCCCCUCUUCCCAGCUAGGCUCCAAACCAGCUAUUUCAGCUGAAGCUGGUCUCUGCCCACCUAGCAACCCACCAAUUCGGAGUACCCGUACUCAACCCAGCCUGUGGAAUUCAGAGCCCU